UACGAAGGGGGCUAGCGUUGCUCGGAAUCACUGGGCGUAAAGGGUGCGUAGGCGGGUCUUUAAGUCAGGGGUGAAAUCCUGGAGCUCAACUCCAGAACUGCCUUUGAUACUGGCGAUCUUGAGUCCGGGAGAGGUGAGUGGAACUGCGAGUGUAGAGGUGAAAUUUCGUAGAUAUUCGCAAGAACACCAGUGGCGAAGGCGGCUCACUGGCCCGGUACUGACGCUGAGGUGCGAAAGCGUGAGGAGCAAACAGG
rnacentral:rRNA from 1 species